rnacentral:tRNA from 1 species
GAGAUAAUAGUAUAAAUAAGUAUCUUUCUUUUUCGAGGAAAAGGUUUAUUUAUCUUA